rnacentral:rRNA from 1 species
CGCUAGCGGCAGGCUUAACACAUGCAAGUCGAGGGGCAGCAUGAGACGGAGAUUCGUCGAAGUCUUGAUGGCGACCGGCGCAAGGGUGCGUAACGCGUGAGCAACUUGCCCGUUUCAGGGGAUAACCGUUGGAAACGACGACUAAUACCCCAUAGUAUCGUGAAGAGGCAUCUCUUUAUGAUUAAAGAAUUUCGGAAACGGAUAGGCUCGCGUGACAUUAGCUAGAUGGAGAGGUAACGGCUCACCAUGGCGACGAUGUCUAGGGGAACUGAGAGGUUAAUCCCCCACACUGGUACUGAGACACGGACCAGACUCCUACGGGAGGCAGCAGUGAGGAAUAUUGGACAAUGGAUGGAAAUCUGAUCCAGCCAUGCCGCGUGCAGGAUGACGGCCCUAUGGGUCUUAAACUGCUUUUGUACGGGAGCAAUAAGUUUCACGUGUGGAAUGAUGAGAGUACCGUACGAAUAAGCAUCGGCUAACUCCGUG